UACGAAGGGGGCUGGCGUUGCUCGGAAUUACUGGGCGUAAAGCGCACGUAGGCGGCUUGUUAAGUCGGGGGUGAAAUCCUGGAGCUCAACUCCAGAACUGCCUUCGAUACUGGCGAGCUCGAGUUCGGGAGAGGUGAGUGGAACUGCGAGUGUAGAGGUGAAAUUGCGUAGAUAUUCGCAAGAACACCAGUGGCGAAGGCGGCGACCUGGAUAGGAACGUCGACACUCAACUACGAAAGCGUG
rnacentral:rRNA from 1 species